CCUAAAGACUGUAAUUUUCAAUUGAUAAAGACAUCUAACAAUUACACGGACGGGAACCAAACACAGUUACGAUUGAAACUCAAAUCGACAUGACUCUCAAAUACAAACCCAGACAGAAUCUCGAAUCUGCACCGAAAACAGACUCAAUUUUGCCUAUGCGAGCGAAGAAACGUGAAAUCCAGGAGACUACUGAUUUGAACCGUUCACUAUGUAAAUUAAAAUGGAGCCAGCUACAGCUGUGGAUUGAGAACUCUCCUCUUUGCUCUUAUGGAAUUAAGCAGUAAACAAGAGAAGGAAGGAAAAGACAAUUUUCCGAUCCAGGAAUCUAUGGUCCCAGUAGCAGCCAUUGAUCGAGGUCGCAUGCUGUGGAGUUGUUGAGGUAUAUGCAUGGCGUUCGCAGGCCUUAGCUCUCCUUCUCAUUUCUAGAUGUAUUUUUCUAUUUGUUCUUAGACACUUUGAUAGAUUAUGUAUCUACCUUAGACGCUCAUACACUCAGUGACACCUCGGUUUUAGGUUGGAUUGUAUAUAUUCUUGGAAUU